CCAGGAACUCACAGGGGAAAUGCUCUUCUCCCGUAAAAAAUCAACGAUUUCAGGGGGUUUCUAAGCUUUUAUUUUUGGAAGAUGGUGGUGGGAAGAAGAUGCUGCCUGCUGUCCAAUUCCAAGAUGCCCUGGAGUAAUGGAAGAGCCACCUACGGAUGUUAAUUCUGGAAAAACUCCGUGCUCAGCUCCCAGUCACCCGCUGGCAGUGAUUAAUGCCGAUGCUAAUGAUCAUGUUGUGAUCAGUCAUUAAUGAUGGAUGUUAAUAUCUGUUUUGCAUAAAAGCUCCGUGUGAUGUCCUGA